ACAGGACAGGGGGAACCCCUGCUCCGCACACCGCGCUGGAGGAAGAAGGCCCCCGGGCCGUAAACCCCCGUCGUAGGGGACAAAGAUGCGCGCAUGAAUAAUGCGUAUAUUUGAUGGUACCCUAGGAGGAAGCACCGGCUAACCCCGUGCCAGCAGCCGCGGUAAUACGGAGGGUGCAAGCGUUGUUCGGAAUCACUGGGCGUAAAGCGUGUCUAGGCGGGUAUGCAAGUCGGUUGUGAAAGCCCCUGGCUCAACCAGGGAUGUGCAUCCGAUACUGUAUGUCUUGAGUUGUGGAGAGAUGAGCGGAAUUCCGAGUGUAGCAGUGAAAGGCGGAGAUAUUCGGAGGAACACCAGAGGCGAAGGCGGCUCAUUGGCCAUUAACUGACGCUGAAGCACGAAAG
rnacentral:rRNA from 1 species